AGGAUCAUUGCACACACAAAGUUGCAGCAAACCCCCUUUGCGAAUUUCAUGAAUGUCCCCCUUGUGUUUUGGGGGGCCUGGGGCAUCGUUGUCACUACUACUACUACUACUACUACUACUACUUGUGGUGGUGGUGGUGGUGGUGGUGGUGGUGGUGUCCCGGCCUGCCAAACACAUCCAAGUCCCCCCAUACAAGGGAGGCUUGGGGCUCCUCCUCCCUAAACCGGGUAGGCGGCCCCUUGUCCUCCUGGGGGGACUUGGUAACCAACCGAUUGCGCAAUGCAUCAACACUUUCAAUAUGACUGAGUACCGAAAAUCGGGACACUGCCGCUUGCAAAGGCGCGAUGGUGUCCCCGAGUUGUGAUAAACAAAAACAACUCUCAGCAACGGAUAUCUUGGCUCUUGCAACGAUGAAGAACGCAGCGAAAUGCGAUACGUAGUGUGAAUUGCAGAAUUCCGCGAAUCAUCGAGUCUUUGAACGCAAGUUGCGCCCGAGGCUUGACCAAGGGCAUCUCUGCCAGAGCGUCACCGCGACACCCACCAAUCCACUCUAAGUGGAUUGAGUGAAACUGGCCAUCCGAAUGCGGCCACCCGGGGCUUCCUGGGUGGCAGAUUGGGUUGGCUGAAAUGGAGGGAAUUUGGCCGCCGUGCUGUCACAGCCCGCGAUCAGGUGAUCCAGGCCCCCCACUUGCAAAGGUGGUGGGUGUCCUGGAACUCAAAUGUGCGUUGGUUGUGCAGCCCAGUCAGGGAUUCCAAAGCAGGUCCCUCGCGACACUCGGCCCCUCCUAGUCACGCGCUAAGGGGGAACUGGGUGGAGAGCGAGGUAACGUC
rnacentral:rRNA from 1 species